rnacentral:lncRNA from 1 species
AAAAGUUUAGGAUUCGUAGGGUAGAAUUAAAACCUGUACACAGAAAGAAAAUGCAAAUAUGUCUCGCUUAGAUUUAUAAUCUUAGAGGCUUUGCUGACACCUCCUCUGGUAAGGUGAAACAACCUAUCAAAAACAUCUGGAUGACCAUAAUGAAAACGAACCGUAGAGGAAUCAAGUAAUUAUUUAAUUAAUAAACAUGCCUGCAACAGAAGUAUGAAAAGAACCAACAGGAUAUGAUUUAGAUCUUACUUCAAAGGUUUGGCCAGCAAUCUUUGACCAAUUGUUACAAAACUUGUUUCUUGAUUAGACAUAAACCAU